rnacentral:rRNA from 1 species
CGGAAGGAUCAUUACAGAGUUCAUGCCCGAAAGGGUAGACCUCCCACCCUUGUGUAUUAUUACUUUGUUGCUUUGGCGAGCUGCCUUCGGGCCUUGUAUGCUCGCCAGAGAAUACCAAAACUCUUUUUAUUAAUGUCGUCUGAGUACUAUAUAAUAGUUAAAACUUUCAACAACGGAUCUCUUGGUUCUGGCAUCGAUGAAGAACGCAGCGAAAUGCGAUAAGUAAUGUGAAUUGCAGAAUUCAGUGAAUCAUCGAAUCUUUGAACGCACAUUGCGCCCCUUGGUAUUCCGGGGGGCAUGCCUGUUCGAGCGUCAUUUCAACCCUCAAGCUUAGCUUGGUAUUGAGUCUAUGUCAGUAAUGGCAGGCUCUAAAAUCAGUGGCGGCGCCGCUGGGUCCUGAACGUAGUAAUAUCUCUCGUUACAGGUUCUCGGUGUGCUUCUGCCAAAACCCAAAUUUUUCUAUGGUUGACCUCGGAUCAGGUAGGGAUACCCGCUGAACUUAAGCAUAUCAAAA